UAGGGAAUCUUCCACAAUGGACGAAAGUCUGAUGGAGCAACGCCGCGUGAAGGAAGAAGUAUCUCGGUAUGUAAACUUCUAUCAGCAGGGAAGACAAUGACGGUACCUGACUAAGAAGCCCCGGCUAACUACGUGCCAGCAGCCGCGGUAAUACGUAGGGGGCAAGCGUUAUCCGGAUUUACUGGGUGUAAAGGGAGCGUAGACGGAUCUGCAAGUCUGGAGUGAAAGCCCGGGGCUCAACCCCGGACGUGCUUUGGAAACUGUAGGUCUAGAGUGCCGGAGAGGUAAGCGGAAUUCCUAGUGUAGCGGUGAAAUGCGUAGAUAUUAGGAGGAACACCAGUGGCGAAGGCGGCUUACUGGACGGUAACUGACGUUGAGGCUCGAAAGCGUGGGGAGCAAACAGGAUUAGAUACC
rnacentral:rRNA from 1 species